GUUUUCUGCCAGGACUGCUUCGUGGGGGGCGUGGUGCUGCGUUUCUGCCACUCGGUGAUGCUGGUGCUGUCGGGCAUCAUUUGCUCUUGUUUUAAAGGACAAGAAGUGCACCGAGGAGAUGAAGCGUGGGAGGAAGAGCACUUCCUGCAGAGCUCGGAAGGAAAGUGCGUGACCUGCCAGGAAGGGCAAGAGGCUCAGCUCCGCUGGGGAGGGGACGCGGGCACCGGGCCAGGCUCAGCACCGCUGGGGAGGGGACGCGGGCACCGGGCCAGGCUCAGCACCGCUGGGGAGGGGACGCGGGCACCGGGCCAGGCUCAGCACCGCUGGGGAGGGGACGCGGGCACCGGGCCAGGCUCAGCACCGCUGGGGAGGGGACGCGGGCACCGGGCCAGGCUCAGCACCGCUGGGGCGAGGACGCGGGCACCGGGCCAGGCUCAGCACCGCUGGGGAGGGGACGCGGGCACCGGGCCAGGCUCAGAGACUCUGGCUGCCACGGCUCCAGCACUCGGAGCUCCGCACAGAGGGGCUGGCAAAGGAGACGCGUGGCUGGAUGUCACUCUGCCCCACAGAAGGGUGCAGAAAGUGUCUACACCACCCGGCUUGGCCAGGCCUCCUAGUUCAGCUGGUUGUGCUAUUUCGGGCGGCAGCGUGUCACCCCUGGCCCAGCUGCGCACAGCCGGGUCAACCUCUGGGCAGCGGGAGACAGGACCGCCUUCCCACCAGCCCAGACUUCUUCCCCAAAGCUGCCUGGGAAAGAGUCCACGCUCUCUCAACAGUGCCUGGAGCCUCGGAGUCUGAGUCUGCUCGGGCUGCCACCACCCAGCUCCCCAGACGGAGCGGCUGUAACAACAGACAUGUAUUAUGUCGCAGGUCUGGAUGAUGGAAAUACAAACACCAGGUGCCGGGUGGGCCAUGCUCUCUCCAAGGACUCGCGGGAGGCGCCGUCCUCACUGCUUCCAGCAUCUGCUGGCCCCAAGCCUCGCUUGGCUUGUGGCAGUGUCACGCCACUCACUCCCUGCCCCCACUGCCACGUGGCGUCUCUGCGCGUCUCUGUGUCUUUUUCUUCCUGUUGUGUUUC
rnacentral:lncRNA from 1 species